CAUGAACCGAGCAGCGGGUUUUUCAGUGGCUCUUCUGUUCUUCAAUUUGAUCAGUAGUUCUCCUGUUUUUUAUUAGAUUGUUGUUUAAAUAGUCAGUUUGGAGAAUAAAGGAGAGUCAAGAAGCUCUUAAUCACAUUUCAGACUAAAAGUAGUGCCAAACGAGCAGACGAAAUUAAAUCAGCAUCAUGAACUGGCUUGCAAUCGUUGUCGCUUUGUGGCUUUCGUUGGUAACAGUGAUGUCAGCGCCAGCUCCCACCUGGUGGGACGAGCUCUUCAACCCAUCUCGGGGCUACGGAGGCAACGGAGGUUACGGUGGUUACGGAGGCUACGGGGGCUACGGAGGUUACGGUUCCAGGUCUGGUGGCGAAUUCAAUCAGUACCCUGCCCGGCAAGGCAGAUCAGGCAAA